rnacentral:rRNA from 1 species
CCCGGUAAACGGCGGCCGUAACUAUAACGGUCCUAAGGUAGCGAAAUUCCUUGUCGGGUAAGUUCCGACCUGCACGAAUGGCGUAAUGAUGGCCAGGCUGUCUCCACCCGAGACUCAGUGAAAUUGAACUCGCUGUGAAGAUGCAGUGUACCCGCGGCAAGACGGAAAGACCCCGUGAACCUUUACUAUAGCUUGACACUGAACACUGGUCCUUGAUGUGUAGGAUAGGUGGGAGGCUUUGAAGCGCGGACGCCAGUUCGUGUGGAGCCAACCUUGAAAUACCACCCUUUAAUGGCUGGUGUUCUAACGUAGGCCCGUGAUCCGGGUUGCGGACAGUGUCUGGUGGGUAGUUUGACUGGGGCGGUCUCCUCCUAAAGAGUAACGGAGGAGCACGAAGGUUAGCUAAUCCUGGUCGGACAUCAGGAGGUUAGUGCAAAGGCAUAAGCUAGCUUGACUGCGAGCGUGACGGCGCGAGCAGGUGCGAAAGCAGGUCUUAGUGAUCCGGUGGUUCUGAAUGGAAGGGCCAUCGCUCAACGGAUAAAAGGUACUCCGGGGAUAACAGGCUGAUACCGCCCAAGAGUUCAUAUCGACGGCGGUGUUUGGCACCUCGAUGUCGGCUCAUCACAUCCUGGGGCUGAAGUAGGUCCCAAGGGUAUGGCUGUUCGCCAUUUAAAGUGGUACGCGAGCUGGGUUUAGAACGUCGUGAGACAGUUCGGUCCCUAUCUGCCGUGGGCGCUGGAGAAUUGAGGGGGGCUGCUCCUAGUACGAGAGGACCGGAGUGGACGCAUCACUGGUGUUCGGGUUGUCAUGCCAAUGGCACUGCCCGGUAGCUAAAUGCGGAAGAGAUAAGUGCUGAAAGCAUCUAAGCACGAAACUUGCC